GACAGAGGUCCCGAGCGUUAGGCGGAAUCACUGGGCUUAAAGCGUGUGUAGGCGGAUCGUUAAGUACCUUGUGAAAUCCCACGGCUCACCCGUGGAACUGCUUGGUAUACUGGUUGUCUUGAGCCUUCUAGGGGCGAGUGGAACAAAUGGUGGAGCGGUGAAAUGCGUAGAUAUCAUUUGGAACGCCAAUGGUGAAAACAACUCGCUGGGGAAGUGCUGACGCUGAGACACGAAAGCCAGGGGAGCGAACGGG
rnacentral:rRNA from 1 species